rnacentral:misc_RNA from 1 species
GAUGAAGAACGUAGUGAAAUGCGAUACGUAAUGUGAAUUGCAGAAUUCAGUGAAUCAUCGAAUCUUUGAACGCACAUUGCGCCCGCCAGCACUCUGGCGGGCAUGCCUGUUCGAGCGUCAUUUCAACCAUCAAGCCCCAGGCUUGCGUUGGAGCCCUGCGGCUGCCGCAGCCUCCUAAAAGCAGUGGCGGGCUCGCUAUCACACCGAGUGCAGUAGAUUACUCUUCGCUCAGGGCGUGCAGCGGGUUCCGGCCGUGAAACCCCCUACUUUUAAAGGUUGACCUCGGGUCAGGUAGGGAUACCCGCUGAACUUAAGCAUAUCAAUAAGCGGAGGA